AGCCCCUCGGCUGACCUCCUCUCGCUUGCUGCCUUCCCAGAACAUUUCCAAACACCCUCCGGGGCUGAAUCACCUCCUAGUGAGACUUCAGUAGACGCUGGCGUGACCCGGGGUGCCAACCGGCACCAGCCGCCCUGCCGCUCGGCCGAGGCCACGUGCAAAGUUUUCAUUCAACAGUUGCUAGUUCCCGGGAACGCGGGAAUUCUUCGGAUCCUCUCAUCUGUUGGCUUGGCUCUGCAGAAGCAUUUCCAGUGUUCUCCCGCUGACCUGCCCGCCAGGGACCCUCAGACCGGGGCGCCGGGCCACGCACGCCCGACAGGGACCUGUCCCAAGAACAGGCUGAUGUCUGGUUCGCGCCCAGACAAUGGCCGCAUCCCAUUAAUACUUAAACUCCACACUUAGAAGAAUUUAGUAAAGACAGACCCUGAUGAUGACGUUAAAUACCUUCCCUUCUUUUAAUAACAACUUGAUUUCAGAUCAGGAAUCAGAGUCGUCUAAUACUGUGAAAAUUAAACAGAAAUGUUCUGCCAUUACACCAAGCAGACUGCUUAAUAAAUCGG
rnacentral:lncRNA from 1 species